rnacentral:lncRNA from 1 species
AGCGACAAGUGGUUUGCGCUCUGUGGGCGUUGGGGGCGAGGGGAGGGGAGGGGAGAGGCGGGAGCACGAGGUCUUCUGCGUCCUCCACAGGUCACUGGUGGCCUUCAGGGCCUUUAAAAUUAAAUGCCGAUUAUAUGAGAAAAAAUCCCCUGUCGAGCUCCUGCCUCGCCGCCCGCCCGCGCGGAACCGAAACACAGUGGCAGAGGCAGGACUUAGGGGGCCACAGCAAGACCCUGGCGAGGGCGGGGCUGGGAGCGGGAUGCGUGGCCACGUGCGGUCAGCGGGGACUCGCCAUGGGCGGCACCCACCACCCAGCUGUGGCCCCAGAGGCCGGAAGAUUAAUCGAUCAGCUGCCUGCGCCUGCGUCGUCAGGUCUGUUCCUGGAAAAAGGAAAAACUGUCCCGAGUCCUGCGGCCCGUCCUCCUGGCAGCGCACCCCUUCCUGCACCAGCAGUCUCUCCCGAGUGACCCACUCCCUGCAGCUUGCAAACCCCAAGACGCCAGCCUCUACAGCACCAGAGCCCCGCAUGCCGCCCCUCCCCAGCCACGGCUGCACGUUUCUGCGCCCCUCGGCACUCACGGAGCGGCAGUGCAGUCUUCCCUGGAGGUGCGCGCACCCACAAGGCACCUUCCUUGUGGUUCCUGGGGGCUGUUUCUUCCUCCAACGUGGCUCCUGCCCUGCCCAGGUGAAGGCUGUUUCCCUAGCAGCGCCUGGCUUCCUGGCGCUGCUCUGGCUGCUGUGGGCCCCGUGUCCUCCCAGUCUAGACGUCUUCCUCUGGGUGACCCUUAGGGUCUGGCAGGGCGAUGCAUGGGAAGAGACACCUUGGGGUGGAGGUCUCCGGAGGCCGGGGGUUGCCCCCUUGGGCCUCAGACACUGAGAGGGACAGGAGCUGAGAGCAGAGCGGGCACCAGGACUGGCGUUGGUGGGCGGGAGCAAGUGGGGGCAGAAUACCAGGCCCUGCCUGUCUCCCUCCAGUGCAGGUGGGUGCGCCCAGCACCCAGGGCAGAGGGGGCACAGCUCCGGGGCACAGACCAGUGGCGGUCCAUCCCCUGGUACCAUCCACACCUCCGCUGCUGUGCCAGCGUGCAGUUCUCGAAUCCGACUGUGCCGAGCGAACAUGCUCUUCCCCUCCACGUUGCUGUCUUGGUACCGCCGCCCACAUACAUGUUAGCUCGGUCCAAAAACUAAGCCUCAGAUUUCUCUGUUUUGAACACCCCCCCUCUAGCGCACCUGCAGUAUGUUGGCUCUGAACACGGCCUGACUUCCGUCGAGACCACUUCUGUCCUCGGCAGUCCACACAAGCAACUUGCCUUUUGAUUUCUCUCCCGACAGGGUACCUGGCAGCCUUCCUGCUCUCUUCCUAGGGAAGGGAAUAUGAGCAACUGUGUGCUGGUUGGGAAAGGAGAUGUUCUGUAUGUAAAGGGAAGUUUAAGCCUUCCGGAAAAGCCAUUUAUUAUAAAAGGAUAUCGUAAAUUGUUUUUUUAAAGAUGGCCUACUCUUUCCUUCCUUUUUGAGAUGGUGGUGUAAAGAUGUGAUGCCUUGAGCUAUGGCAGCCCCUUGGGCCUUGAGGCAACAUACAAAAAACCAAAAAUCGUAUGUGGUGACCAUGACAGGGAGACAGGAGGACUGUUCCUGAAGUUGAUUUUUAUUACGUGAGGUUAAAACUGUGUUGUGUCAACUGCAGGGUUGCCCUCUAAGUGAUCCACGGCAGGCCUCCUGCAGGGCUGCCCGGUACAGCUGUCAGAAGGGCCUUUGGGAUGCAGGUCUGGGGCCCCAGGCUUGGUCUGCACCACCUGCCUGCCUUUCUGCUCUGCAGCACUAGGGUUACCCCAAGGCCCCGGGGUGGAGAGGCCCCCACAGCCAGCUGUGCGCCCUGGCCCAGACACUCGUGAGCCAGACUGGGGUGCAGACCCACGCGCGACUCUGUGGGCACAGCCCUGGCACCACGAGGCAAGUCUCUGCGUCCUUGGAACACAAAUGUCACCUCUUUGAAGAUGCAGCUGGUGGCGGCGGCUGAGGUACAGACGGACGCGCGUGGACUGGGCGGCACAGCAGCCCAGCUGCGCACCGAGAUCCUGGCGCCCAGGCGGUGUCCGCUAGUGGCCAGGCGAGGGGCGCGGCUGGGGCUGUACACGUGCAGCCCACGGCGCGUCCAC